AUUGGAGUUACUGGGUCAUAAGGUAACUAAACUUUAGAGGAACUGUUAAACUAUUUCCAAAGCAGCUGCAAUAUUUUUGCAAUACCACUGGUAAU
rnacentral:pre_miRNA from 1 species